AUAAUAAAUGAUAUUUUUAUAUACAGUGAAGACAUGAACAUGAUAUAUAUUUUUAAGCAUCAAUUUGAUCUUAUUACAUAUACUUGUUUUGCUAUUGCAAAUGUGCAGGUAUUAUAUUUAAAUUUUAAUUUCUUUACAUUGAGUUGUUAGGUUGCUGUUCUAAGUUUUAUUUUGAUUAAGUUUUGCUGAAUGUGUUGUUGAUUUUAAUUUUGUUAAAUCAUUUUUGGCAUGUCAAGUACACUAUUUUUAUUAAUUGUUUGGGCGUUUUUAUAAUAUUUUUGAAUAAUAAGCAUCCCUUACCUACAAAUGAUAAAGUACUCUAGCUGCUGAAACUGUUAGUGGAGUACUCAUUUAAACAAAUCAUGGUUGAAAUCAUAUUAUUAUCUUCAAAUUAUAUUAUAUUUUUUUAUUGAAUUAUUCCCCCCCCCC
rnacentral:lncRNA from 1 species